ensembl:lncRNA
GUGGGGGCUCCGCGGGGUCGCGCCGGGCCCCGCAGAGAGAGCGCGGUGGGAAGAGCGGGGCGAGUAAUGAAUUCCAGCGGAGAGCCGAGGAGGAAGCGCCUUUCCGAGCUCUGCCAUAUUUAACAUUGACCACACUAAAGAUGUUAUUAGCGAAGGGGGGGCGGGAAGGGCAACGGGGAAUGUGAUAAGGGAAAAUAGAUAAUGACACAUAAUCCAAACCAGAAGUUUGAAACCAAGUUACUUCGCAGGAAAAGAGCCACAAGCUCUACUUCUCUCUCUCUCUUUUUUUUUUUUUUUUUUUUUUUUUUUUUUUUUUUUUUUUAAUGGACCGGGGCAGGAGGACAGGGAGAUAAACUUGUUAGGGAAAGAAAUACUCCUCUGGCAACCGGGUAAAUAAAAUAGCUGAGGAGAAACAGUGAAAGACAUGGGGGUAGGGAAACGCAAAGGACGCACUCCUAUUUAGAAACCCCAAAGGAAAUUGUAAAGUAGGAAAUGAAAAGGAGGAGGAGAAACAUUUCUGUGGUAAAUUAGAGGGAAUGAAGAUUAGCGGGAGAAGAGGGGGAAAGAGCUGCAGAAGAUCUCGAAUCGAACAGCGCUGAAGAUGAGCCAAUGUUUAAAAUAUCCCAAGUGAGGAAAGAGAGCGGUGCGCUCAUCUCCUCGGCAUGGGCGUGCGAGGGGGAAAUGAGCAGGGAUAAUUACUAAGAUAGCACAUGGCCGGAGGAGCCAAUCCAAAAUAAGAGGUGAAUUUGGCUGCUGAGGACAGACGUGAAAAGAGCUGGAAGAGAACUGGAGGGAAUUAGGGGAGGAGAAAGGCUCCGAGAGCACAGGGAAACUUCAAGGAGCGGCUGGAUGGGGAGGAAACAACCACGGCAGAGAUGGGGAGAGAGCCUGAAAGUGUGGGAGCGAGUAGAAGGGAGAGACUGGGGAGAGCAAAUCAACCUGGAAGAGGGAGAGGGAACGGUGGGAGCGGAUGGGGAGAAAGAAGGCAGGAGCGGAAAAGUGGGAGAGAGGGAAGGAGGGACGGAGGGAGGGAUGUGGGGAGAGAGGGAAGGAGGCAGAGGGAGGAGACAAGGGCUGAAGGCUCCCAGCCCGGGGAAGGUGCAGCGCUGAGUGAGAGAGCUCACUCCGAGGGUUAGGUUGGAUUUCCAGAGCUCUUAGAGCUCAUCGACCAGCCCGCUGGAGUCACUAUUCAACCCGACUCCCAAACACACGCCUCACUAACUACUUUACAGCCACUUUCAUUGAUUUUCUUUAUCAAAUAAACAUAAUACCCGUUACAGCAACACUUCCUCUUCGCGCAGCCAGAAUGCCACAAGCUCUGAUUGCUGCAUUUCUCCGGCUUGCAGCUCCCCACCCUCCACCCCUAAAUAAAUUGUGUUCUUUCACUUAAAUGCUCAAAUACAUUAUUGCUCGCAGAAUUUUGCUGUAAUCUGGGAAGUGCACUGCGAGCCAGGCGAGCCGCUUAAAUUAAAAGGUUCAGGGUCCCCAUACCCACGCCUUGGCGUGGAGGCACACGUUUGUUCCCCCCGUUUCAGGAGUAUCAUAGGUAUUUACAUACUUAUUUUCUGCUAAUAAGCGGUAACUUAAUUUAGAGGGCGAUGUCAAAGUGAGCGUUCCCGCCUGAAAAAUACAGAAAAGAAUUAACGCAACUCGAGCAGCUGCACCCAAACUGUCACUUGAUUUGAGCAUCUCAGCCUCCAAACUCAAUUUUAUUAAAAAAAAAAAAAAUCCCCUAAAAGUAGCCCCCUUCAAAAGCUGUUUUUGAACCAGGCUCUUCCAUAUAUGUCAAAGGGCUGUUGAAUUAUUCAUUAUUAUAAUUACUAUCAUCAUUGUCAUUAUCCCUUUCCAUGUGGAAAUAAUUUUAUUAUCGUAAUUUGAUAUCUGAAGAAUUUCCUGUUAGUCGUUUGAUAAUCAUUUUUUUUCUACUGAAAAGAAAAGUUUUGUUUAUAAAUGAGAGAAAAAUAUUUUAAAUGCUUUUAUGUUUGCCAUAGAUUUCCGUUUAUCUAAUCGAUUGGGAUGCCAAUAAAUCGAUUAAAGGUUUAGUGUUUUACAAACAACCAUUUUGUGCUUUUUGAUUUUACGUUCAGAAUGAUUUUAAUAAAGCUAAUACCUUCUCUGGGCGUCUGUUCACCCCAAACCUAAUAUUCCUUCAUUUCUAUUAUUUACAGUUGCAAUUUAAAGUGUUUCUAAUGAGAAAAAUAAACGCGAAUAAAAGGAGGAAAUCAUCUGUAUAAAUUACUUUGUGCCUGUGGUCAGCGUAUUUAGGCAAAGCCCUUAAAAAUCUUGGUGAAUUAUAUGCGAUCAUACAGUGAUUGCGGAAUAUUAAAUUAAACUUAGAUAAAUCCGCAUUGAAGGAGGCAGCACCCAAUCCUGAAUUUAUUUCCCAUUUUCUAUAACAGCAUCACUGCGCUCCUCUCUUUGCAAUGACAAUGUGCCAAAUCUAGGCAUUUUGAAAACAUUUUCCAUAUGCUUUAACUGGAGACUGAUAGACAAAGAAGAAAAGGAGAUGGUCUUUUUUCUCUUGAGGAGAGACUGUAAAAUUUUUCCCUUGGAUAUAUCACCGCUGGAAAUAUGCUCUUGGGCUUUCUGAAGGGGAUGGGGGGGAGCGCGGCGGUAAGCGGUCGUUUUCCUCGAUUUGCAUAAGAGCGAGAGAAGUGCCUGUGAAGUUGGUGAAUUGCUAUUGUUUGGGGCCAGUCCUGACUGUUUUUGUUUAUAAACACUGGGGUGGUUGCCGGGAGGGGAGGGAGGUCAGAACGCUGUCAAAGCGCUGACCUCUGAAAGCCCAGAGGGCGCCUGGCUCCUUCACCCGCUCCUUUCUCUCUCUCCCUCUCCCUUUUUCUUUCCCUUCCCAUCCAAGGCCAGGAGCUCAGGUUCAGGGCAUUUAAUCCCCGCGAUCUGCCCAAGAAAGGAGCUGAAAAAGGGCUGUUAAGGCUGCGGAGGAAGCGCCGGCAGCAGGCUCAGACCUGGGAGGCUUUUAUUUAUAGUAACGUCCGGGUGCGCGUUUUGUGCGGCUCCAGCCAAAAUAACAACAGCAGCAAGAAAAAAAAAAAGAAAAAGAAAAAAAAGGCAAACGGGACCGGCACUGUUUAGCUCAGAAUGUUAUGGAGGUGUCUGUGCUGUGCUCGGGUGUGAUUUUUUGUCUUAGGUGACCGCUCGUUGGGUGCACUUGCGGGAGGUGAAUGCCAAACGUGGGGUAGCGGGGGCAGGAUCGUACCGCGGUGUAUUGUUGCUAGUUUAUUUCUUUUGCGAACAAAACUUUCUAGGAAUCGGAGAGGGGAUUUGGGGUCGCUUUUCCUCUGACCUCCCUCCAACCCCCCCUUCACCCCUCCCCCCCUCACCCCCCCAGCCCUUAUUGAGUGUACCGGAAUGUGUUUGGGGGGGGGGGGGGGGGAGGGCAUUAACAAUAGAUUUGUAUGACUGAUACCUGCAAAGAAAGAAAUAAUUAAUAAGAGCCAAACGCCUUGGGUUCAGAGUCAAUUUCAUCUCGGGGAAGGAAAAGAAAUAAAAAAAAAAAAAGUACAAGAGAUUGCUAUCAGGUUUAAGUAUGUUUUGAAAAGAAGUUGCUGAGUUAAACAAAAAUGUUAGUUAACACAGUGCCUUUGUCAAAUAGCCCCCGGGAGGAGAAGAGACAACAAAAAGGAGAGGCGGUGGGGGCUGGGGAUCUGAAAGUGUCUGUGCCUCAGAUAAAGGGUCUGUAACGCUGCAAUCUUGUAAUACCUCGUUUCAAACUGAGCUCAUCUAUAGACUUAGGGAACGCAGUCAAAAGACACGGAUCCCCUUUCCCUUGGGCUGGGGUCUGGGGAGAGGAGGAGGUGGGGGGAAAGGGGACGUUUAUUAGAGAAUUAUGUCGCUUUAUUAAAAAGGGGAGCGGCUGUGGCUGUAAUUAUGCAGAUCCUGUGCCCCUAUAUGUCCGCAGCGCAGAUUUAGGGAGUGAAAUGAGCUUGGAGGAGAGUCGCGGUGGAACAGAGCCCGCUCCGGGCUGGGAUCUCUUUGUCUAUCACAGAAUGGUCAGCGUCGGGCUCCGGCCCGCACCAGCUCCCCCUCAGCCAGGCCAAUAAGUUUUCCUUGGGGCUGAGCUGGAGGUGGCAGGAGGACAGAGCGGGCUGUUUUGUUUGGGCUCUUUAUGAUUUUUCUCCCCCUUUCCUCUCUUUGAAACGUAACGUCAUUAUCAGAGCUUUUGUGGUUUCAACAGGAGGCUCGGAAAGGAGGAAAAAAAAAAAAAAAAAAAUCCCCAAACGUGGUGUAACGGUGCCUGCAGGAGAAGUUCGGAGGGGGUGGGCGGGGGGUCCGCCGAGCCCGGAGGAGAGGAGCUGAGAGGUUAG